CGGAUGCGUGAGAAGGAAGCCGAAUGUUCGCGACCUCUGCGCUCAGCCAGAUGCAAAGCAAAGCGGGCGGCCGCCGGAGGACGAGGCCGCGCGAGGGAGUAAAGAAGGCGAAGAGGCGACCACUCACCGACACCACCAACGGCCACACCUCCUCUUCUUUUCCCUCCCACCUGAAAAAAUCCAGAUCCAACUCCAAAUCUUCUGCCUCUCCAACUCCAAUCCCCGAAGGCACUUGCAUCCCUGGCGCAGAAGACGCGUCUGACCCUCCCAGGUCUCCUUUGAGAGAGAAUGAGUCGUUUCUUGAUUCCGGUGAAGGCACUAAUUGUGGUGAAUUAGAGACUUUGAUAGUUUAUUCGCGGAGUGUUGCAAAGGAUAAAAAGUCCAAAGGGAAAGAGCCUCAAACGACUUCAAGCUGCCCCCCAGAGAAAAGGAUAAGAAGUAGAAAUGAUGGAAAAUCAGUGGAUGGUUCAAAUACUAAUCGACAAAAGGCAUCUUCAGUUCCAUCAAAUAAACCUAAAAAGAAGCAGCGAUGUGAAGGACCUGAUGCUGAUUUUCUUGAGAAGCAAAAGGCCUACUUUGAAGAGGUCGAUGCUUUUGAACUCCCCGUAGAGUUUGUCACAGAGAUAGAUCUUGAAUAGGACUAACUGAACCAUACUACCAAUUUAACCCUGGCACUUUGUAUAGUUGCCGGCAUCAGAACCUGAAAGCAGCUCAUUGUAAAUCGACAAGGCAUUUUAGAACUUUAUAUCGACGAAGAUAACUUAAAAAGAGAAGAUCUGGAUUGAGCGAAUGAGGUCAGUCAAUGAGGUAUCGACUAUUGCUGGUU